rnacentral:rRNA from 1 species
UACGUAGGGUGCGAGCGUUAAUCGGAAUUACUGGGCGUAAAGCGUGCGCAGGCGGCGCGUUAAGACAGGUGUGAAAGCCCCGAGCUUAACUUGGGAAUUGCGCUUGUGACUGGCGAGCUGGAGUGUGGCAGAGGGAGGUGGAAUUCCACGUGUAGCAGUGAAAUGCGUAGAGAUGUGGAGGAACACCGAUGGCGAAGGCAGCCUCCUGGGCCAGCACUGACGCUCAUGCACGAAAGCGUGGGGAGCGAAACAA